GAGAUAGCUGGUUUUCUGCGAAAUCUAUUUAAGUAGAGUGUUUAUUGUGAUACCUGAGGUAGAGCUCUCUUUUAGUGCGGGGUUGUCUAUCUUCUACCAAACUUUUGGAAACUUCGAAUUCGGGAUUAUUAAAUUUAAACAAACAGACUAGAGGUGCUAAGAUCUUUAGUCGAGAGGGAAACAGCCCAGAUUGACCGUUAAGGACCUUAAAAAUACAGAAGUUAAAGGAAGUUAAAAACUUUUAACAGCCAGGAGGUAGGCUUAGAAGCAGCCACCCUAUGAUGAAAGCGUAGCAGCUCACUGGUCUAGGUUUUUUGCACCGAAAAUUUAAUGGGAUUAAAAGUAUUUUCCGAAGCGGCAAAAUCCAAUUUUUGGAUUGGUAGCAGAAUGUUCUGUAAAUUUUUAAAGCUAAGCUGUCAGGUUUAGUGGAGAUAUCAGAAGUAAGAAUGCUGACAUAAGUAACGAUAAAGAGUGUUUAAAACACUCUCGCUGUAAACCCAAGGUUUUCGAUGUCAAGUUAAGCUGCGUCGAAGAGAAAUUCAAAAAUAAAAACGGCCCCUAAGAAUAUAGUGAAAACUCAUUUUGAUGGGAAACAAUAUACUGUUUUGAAAGUUGUGACAAAAGGCUUGAAUUUUGUGUUAAAAAGAUCAUUUUGAUGCAAAUUAAUCUUUUCAAGAAAUAGCACUUUCUUUAUUACCGUACCGUAAACUGACACAAGUGGGUGGGUUGAGAAAACUAAAGCGCUUGAGAGAACUGUGUAAAAGGAACUCGGCAAAAUGGCUCCGUAACUUAGGAAGAAGGAGUGACUUUUAAUUCAAUAUUUGCAAUAUGCAAUAAAUGUUCUAAAAGUUGUCACAAAAUUGGAAGAAGCAACUGUUUAACAAAAACACAGGUCUCUGCUAAUUCGCAAGAAGAUGUAUAGGGGCUGACGCGUGCCCGGUGCUGCAAGGUUAAGGGGAGGCGUCUUGGCGCUGAACUCAAGCCCCAGUAAACGGCGGCCGUAACUCUGACGGUCCAAAGGUAGCGAAAUUCUUUGCCACCUAAUUAGUGGCCUGCAUGAAUCGCGUAAUGACUUCUUUACUGUCUCUUACACAGACUCAGUGAAAUUGAAAUAUCCGUGAAGAUGCGGAUUACUCACAGCUAGACGGAAAGACCCUGUACACCUUUACUGCAUUUAUUGAUUGCAAAAAUGUAUUUGUUGUGUAGAAUAGGUGGGAGCACGAUACCUUUUUGGUACUGUGCGCCAGUGAAAUACCACCCUGCAUUUAUGUUGAUGCUAACUUAUUUCUAUAAGAACAGUUUAUAAUUGGUAGUUUGACUGGGGCGGUCGCCUUCUAAAAGGUAACGAAGGCGUGCAUAAGGUAAACUCAAAUAAAUAAAUCUUUUAUUGAAGAGUGCAAUAGCAAAAGUUUGCUUGACUGUAAGAAUAACGAUUCGAACAGGGGCGUAAGCCGGCUAUAGUGAUCCGGUGAUACUGAAUGGAAAGGUCAUCGCUCAACGGAUAAAAGGUACGUCAGGGAUAACAGGCUAAUGACUCCUUAGAGUUCCUAUCGACGGAGUUGUUUGGCACCUCGAUGUCGGCUAGUCACAUCCUGGAGCUGAA
rnacentral:rRNA from 1 species